rnacentral:rRNA from 1 species
GACGAACGCUGGCGGCGUGCCUAACACAUGCAAGUCAACUUGACUGAAGGAGCAAUCUGACAGUAGAGUGGCGCAAGGGUGCGUAACGCGUAAGUAACUUGCCCAAGGUAGGGAAUAACGUCGAGAAAUCGGCGCUAAUACCCCAUAAUGCAGCGGAUCCGCAUGGAUAUGUUGUUAAAGGUUUACCGCCUUGGGAUAGGCUUGCGUCUGAUUAGCUAGUUGGUGUGGUAACGGCACACCAAGGCUACGAUCAGUAACUGGUCUGAGAGGAUGAUCAGUCACACUGGAACUGAGACACGGUCCAGACUCCUACGGGAGGCAGCAGUGAGGAAUAUUGGGCAAUGCUCGAAAGAGUGACCCAGCAACGCCGCGUGGAGGAUGAAGGUAUUCUAUAUCGUAAACUCCUAGUGAGAGCAGACGAAAGACAGAUUAUAAUCUGGGUGACUGUAUGCUCAGAGGAA